UAUCAGCCUUUUGGGCAUGAUUCUGUGGAGCGUGAGGAGUUAAACGCCUUCAUGUCUGCAUAUUCGUGUACUUUGGGUGUACUUGCCUGUGUGGUUAGUUAACAUCAAUUUUGGUUAUCAUAAAAUGGCUGGAGGAAUGUAGCUUCGAUUUCGAUUGAAGUGUUAUAGCCUUCGGCAGAUGUGAUGAUCGGGAUUGAGGAUUGCAACGGAUACCCUUCGGGGCUACCUGUCUGGUCUCUGAUCGUUGCUCUGGUGCCGAAAGCGUGCUUACGGUUAUCAAAGUCGAUGGUCAAUAGGUUAGAACGGGUUAAAUUCGUUAAGGAUGUUGACGUA
rnacentral:rRNA from 1 species